rnacentral:rRNA from 1 species
GACAGAGGGUGCAAACGUUGUUCGGAAUUACUGGGCGUAAAGCGCGUGUAGGCAGCUCGGCAAGUCGGGUGUGAAAGCCCUGGGCUCAACCUAGGAAGUGCACUCGAAACUUCCGAGCUGGAGUGCUGGAGAGGAAGGCGGAAUUCUCGGUGUAGAGGUGAAAUUCGUAGAUAUCGAGAGGAACACCGGUGGCGAAGGCGGCCUUCUGGACAGUAACUGACGCUGAGACGCGAAAGCGUGGGGAGCAAACAGG